rnacentral:rRNA from 1 species
UGAGUUCUGGAAAGGAAGAUCAGCCACACUGGGACUGAAACACGGCCCAGACUCCUACGGGAGGCAGCAGUGGGGAAUAUUGGACAAUGGGGGGAACCCUGAUCCAGCAAUGCCGCGUGUGUGAAGAAGGCCUGAGGGUUGUAAAGCACUUUCGGCGGGGAGGAGGAUGAGUUGGUUAAGAGCUGGCUUAUGGGACGGACCCGCAUAAGAAGCACCGGCUAACUCCGAGCCGGGAGCCGGAGGAAGACGGAGGGGGGAAGCAUGAAGCGGAAUGACUGGGAGU